rnacentral:rRNA from 1 species
AGAACUUAGCAGAGAUGCUUUGGUGCCUUCGGGAACUCUGAGACAGGUGCUGCAUGGCUGUCGUCAGCUCGUGUCGUGAAAUGUUGGGUUAAGUCCCGCAACGAGCGCAACCCUUAUCCUUUGUUGCCAGCGGUUAGGCCGGGAACUCAAAGGAGACUGCCAGUGAUAAACUGGAGGAAGGUGGGGAUGACGUCAAGUCAUCAUGGCCCUUACGAGUAGGGCUACACACGUGCUACAAUGGCGCAUACAAAGAGAAGCGACCUCGCGAGAGCAAGCGGACCUCAUAAAGUGCGUCGUAGUCCGGAUUGGAGUCUGCAACUCGACUCCAUGAAGUCGGAAUCGCUAGUAAUCGUGGAUCAGAAUGCCACGGUGAAUACGUUCCCGGGCCUUGUACACACCGCCCGUCACACCAUGGGAGUGGGUUGCAAAAGAAGUAGGUAGCUUAACCUUCGGGAGGGCGCUUACCACUUUGUGAUUCAUGACUGGGGUGAAGUCGUAACAAGGUAAGCGUAGUGCU